GUCCUUGUAGUGCAAUGGUAGCGUGUUGGACUUCUAAUCCAAUGGUCGUGGGUUCGCGAAUCCCACCUAAGUUG